UACGGAGGGUGCAAACGUUGCUCGGAAUCAUUGGGCGUAAAGCGCACGUAGGUGGUUUGUUAAGUCGGGUGUGAAAGCCCUGGGCUCAACCCAGGAAGUGCACUCGAAACUGGCAGACUUGAGUACUGAAGAGGGUCGCGGAAUUCCCGGUGUAGAGGUGAAAUUCGUAGAUAUCGGGAGGAACACCGGUGGCGAAGGCGGCUAUCUGGACGACAACUGACGCUUAGGCGCGAAAGCGCGGGGAUCAAACAGG
rnacentral:rRNA from 1 species